GUCAUUGCGUAAAGAGAUUAGACAUAUUUUACAUGACAACAUCAAUUAUGUCAGCUGUGACCAAAAUAUAUUUUGUUUUUAGUGACCAAAAAUGGCUAUUGUUGUGGUUCCGGUGUAACGAAAUUCGAAAUAUUACGGAAAUAAUAACCAAUAGCUUGUGAAUCGCAAAAUAAAUUAAAUAUUAUACAAUGGUUGAGUGUGCAGUUGUUGCCUGCACUAACAAAACCCAAACAAAACUAGCGGGGAUUUCAUUUUACAAAUUUCCAGAAAAUCAUGAUUUAAGAAAAAGAAAAAAUGGCUAAACAGCAUUAACAGGCCUAAUUUCCAUCACGAUACAGCUGCAUAUGUAGUGAUCAUUUUAAGAAGGACUACAUUAAUUUAACAUUAUGCUUUCCGCGCCUCAAAGACAAUGUCUGCCCAUCUAUCCCGAAUUUAUCACCUGAGCAACAAGUAAGACAACCCUUGCAAGAAGUGAACCUUAAUCUGUUAUUAGAGAGUCAUGACAAUGCUGUUUCCCAAAAUGGAAUAUAAUUAGUAUUGUAUUGUAUUGUCAAAUCAUGUUUAAAAACUAAAAUUUUUGUCUAGUAAAACGAUAAUCAAAUUUUAAAAGACCAUUUAUAAAAAAGUGUCAAUUUUGUUAUGUAUAACGUAUAACGUUGUAUCAAAAAUUGUAAGUUUUGCAACUUCUAUAAAUAAGUUUUGUUGAUGAAUUACGAUUUUUGUUUCCUUGUUGUGCCUUGGUUUAGUAUUAGGCUGGUGGUCUAGGACAACAUCAUAUUCAUCUGAUAGUAACAAUCAAGACAUAAACACAGGCCAACGUUCGUGAGUGCCAAUACAAAACAUUGCAUAGUUUAAAUAAUCUAA